rnacentral:rRNA from 1 species
AAUAGAUACCCAGGUAGUCCACGCCGUAAACGUUGGGUACUAGGUGUGGCGUCCCGAUCAACGGAUGCCGUGCCGAAGCUAACGCAUUAAGUACCCCGCCUGGGGAGUACGGCCGCAAGGCUAAAACUCAAAGGAAUUGACGGGUCCCCGCACAAGCGGCGGAGCAUGCGGCUUAAUUCGAUGCAACCCGAAGAACCUUACCUGGACUUGACAUCAUGGGAAAAGCCGUAGAAAUACGGUGUCCGUAAGGGUCCAUGACAGGUGGUGCAUGGCUGUCGUCAGCUCGUGUCGUGAGAUGUUGGGUUAAGUCCCGCAACGAGCGCAACCCUUGUCCUAUGUUGCCAGCGCGUUAUGGCGGGGACUCAUAGGAGACUGCCGGGGACAACUCGGAGGAAGGUGAGGACGACGUCAAGUCAUCAUGCCCCUUAUGUCCAGGGCUGCACGCAUGCUACAAUGGCCGGUACAACAGGCAGCGAACUCGCGAGGGUGAGCGAAUCCUCAAAGCCGGCCUCAGUUCGGA